rnacentral:rRNA from 1 species
GAUGAACGCUGGCGGCGUGCCUAAUACAUGCAAGUCGAGCGAACGGACGAGAAGCUUGCUUCUCUGAUGUUAGCGGCGGACGGGUGAGUAACACGUGGAUAACCUACCUAUAAGACUGGGAUAACUUCGGGAAACCGGAGCUAAUGCCGGAUAAUAUUUUGAACCGCAUGGUUCAAAAGUGAAAGACGGUCUUGCUGUCACUUAUAGACGGAUCCGCGCUGCAUUAGCUAGUUGGUAAGGUAACGGCUUACCAAGGCAACGAUGCAUAGCCGACCUGAGAGGGUGAUCGGCCACACUGGAACUGAGACACGGUCCAGACUCCUACGGGAGGCAGCAGUAGGGAAUCUUCCGCAAUGGGCGAAAGCCUGACGGAGCAACGCCGCGUGAGUGAUGAAGGUCUUCGGAUCGUAAAACUCUGUUAUUAGGGAAGAACAUAUGUGUAAGUAACUGUGCACAUCUUGACGGUACCUAAUCAGAAAGCCACGGCUAACUACGUG